UAUACACAAUGGCUAUUGAUAUCGACACUCAGAAGCAGAAGACUGGGGUAACAGACACCCAGCUAGACCUAAGAAUUGAGCAGGAAAAAUUGUGGAGCCUGGCUGGUUUACUUGGCAGCUAUGAUAAGUUUGUUAGAAAGCUAGGGUUUGAUCUCAAUAAUGCCGAUAUAGCAGAUCUGAAGACCAUUGCCUCUAAGCGUAAUGGUAAUCAACUGCAUGGCCAUGUGUGAAGCUUUAAGGAAAUGGGAAAAUAUCAUCCGUGACUUCACUUAUCAGUCGUUGUUGGAGAUUUUGAUUGGUCGUCGUGAAGGAGCUUUGGCUGACCAAGUGUGUAGGACUUUCAUCCAGUCACAAGCCAGUGAGCUGAAUAAAGAAGAGGCUGUGUCCUUGUCACCUGCACCAGGUUAGUAGCUCAGUAUAAUUAUGGAUUCAACAUUAUCAAGCACUUUAUAUUAUGUUCCUCAUGACCAUAGAUAGACUACCUUAUUGUUACUAUUAUAAAUGGGUACUAAUUUCAGCGAAUUUGUAAAUUAAGUACGCACAAAAUUAGUACCCUAAAAAACAGAGAAAAAUCUAAAAACGCUAAAAUUACUACCCGUCUAUAAUAGUAACAUUAAGGGAUCACCUCUGACAGUGACCCAGUUGAACCGAAUUCCUUGGCGAUCGACAGGCACUACAACUGCUGACCUCAUAAAAGAAUUUGAUAGGAGGAGGUUUAGGGAUCUACGAAAGAUAGCUCUCGAGGAGAUAACUGAGAAACGAAUACCUGUGACUGAGUUCCGCUAAACACUCAUGAAUUUACCAUGCCCUAUCACAAAUGAAAACAAAGAUUUUAUCAUAUCAAAGUAUUUGUUUGAAGAAGCUAAGUCAAACGAAAGCAUCUUUCUGCAUCUCAAUUUCUACCUAAGUUUUAUUGAUUUCAGCCUUCUUGAGCAUAUCAUAGAGCAGUAAUAGUCUGAAACGAGACAUAAGCAGCUAUACAGAAGACAUAAGACAGUUCAGAAUGAAAACGCCCGUUAGCGAAGCACUUGACCAUCUUCCGAAAAUUUCAGAUCCUCCUGCAAAUCACUCUCGUCUAACAGUGAAGUUUGAUGUUGAUGUUCAGACUGCAACUCUUGAAAAUCUAGAGACGUACAGGAAACGUUUCGCUAGUGAUUUCUUGCUCUCCCAGCUAGCCCUUUCUUUGUUUGACCUUCAGGAGAGCUCACUACUGGUUACAUGGCUAGUUCCUGCUGCUGUAGGAGCAAUGAUCAGUGAUCAAGUGCAGAAAAAGUCUUCAUUCUGUUUAAGCAACAAUAUUCUCAAGCUAUCACUUGAAGGAGAAUGUCUCUAUCCAAUGACAAAGGUUAGUCAAUCAGGUCAAUCAGGAUCUGGUAGUCCUAUGAUUGAAGCUGGAGCUGUGACCUCUCUUAAACCACAUCAAAGGAUAGCAGAUAAAAUGAAGCGAACAAUCAAUCUUGGACCUAAUCAUCGUGGACUGGCUAUUGUUGUAUUAUCGUUGUUGGACCUAACGGACGUGCUCACGAGGAAAUUGAGAUUUGCUGUUUACGAGCCUCGAGAUAUACUAUCCCUAAAGUCACACAUGCAAGCUGUAGAUCUUGUGGAGCUGAAACAUCAUCCCAUAAUAGUGAUGGUAUCUGGAGUUGGAAGGGAUAAUCUUAUUCUACUCACUGAAUGUGGUUACAUUAACAUCAAGGAAGAUAAUUAUUAUGGCACCACUAUUCCCUCCUAUUGCCACACACCUUGCUGACAACCCAAAGAUAUUCCUGUUUAUUAUUUUCAAACUUUUCUGAACCUCUACAUUUCAUUGAACCAUUCGGGCAAAAUUACAUUGUUGGUUAUAUUGCAUGCGAUGAUCUCGGUGAUAGGUUGAGGGUGACACGCAUCGUAGAGGACAAACUGGCACACCCUUCUAUAUCUGUGCAAGAGAUCUUUACUUCAAUUAGCGACAAGCUUCCACACACUACUACCAUUACUAUGAUCGACCGUCUCAAGGAGCCAGUCUACUUGCAUCCUCGUAGAUCUGAGCUAAUGGAAACUCACAGCGGAUCACAAGAAUCAUCUGAGGAGUCCGAUACUCUAUCACGUUUAGGUGGGCUAUCAAUCAUUGAGCAAUCACAUCUACUGGAGCAACCAACUAAGAAGCUCAAGACGGAACUAUCACCUGAGUCAAGUGAGAAACGCCAAAUUGAUGAAGACUUAUAGUGCUUACCUCAUGCAUCUUCAACUUACCUGUAUAUCUGUAUAUGUAAUUCUGUUUGAAAAAAUUUUUUAUAUUUUUGUACAAAUUGCAUGGUAUAAUAAUAACAGCACAUGAGAUCAUACCAUGCAACAA